UUAAGUUAUUAAGGGCGCACGGUGGAUGCCUUGGCACUAGAAGCCGAUGAAGGACGUUACUAACGACGAUAUGCUUUGGGGAGCUGUAAGUAAGCUUUGAUCCAGAGAUUUCCGAAUGGGGAAACCCAGCAUGAGUUAUGUCAUGUUAUCGAUAUGUGAAUACAUAGCAUAUCAGAAGGCACACCCGGAGAACUGAAACAUCUUAGUACCCGGAGGAAGAGAAAGAAAAUUCGAUUCCCUUAGUAGCGGCGAGCGAAACGGGAAGAGCCCAAACCAACAAGCUUGCUUGUUGGGGUUGUAGGACACUCUAUACGGAGUUACAAAGGACGACAUUAGACGAAUCAUCUGGAAAGAUGAAUCAAAGAAGGUAAUAAUCCUGUAGUCGAAAAUGUUGUCUCUCUUGAGUGGAUCCUGAGUACGACGGAGCACGUGAAAUUCCGUCGGAAUCUGGGAGGACCAUCUCCUAAGGCUAAAUACUCUCUAGUGACCGAUAGUGAACCAGUACCGUGAGGGAAAGGUGAAAAGCACCCCGGAAGGGGAGUGAAAUAGAACCUGAAACCGUGUGCUUACAAGUAGUCAGAGCCCGUUAAUGGGUGAUGGCGUGCCUUUUGUAGAAUGAACCGGCGAGUUACGAUUUGAUGCAAGGUUAAGCAGUAAAUGUGGAGCCGUAGCGAAAGCGAGUCUGAAUAGGGCGUUUAGUAUUUGGUCGUAGACCCGAAACCAGGUGAUCUACCCUUGGUCAGGUUGAAGUUCAGGUAACACUGAAUGGAGGACCGAACCGACUUACGUUGAAAAGUGAGCGGAUGAACUGAGGGUAGCGGAGAAAUUCCAAUCGAACCUGGAGAUAGCUGGUUCUCUCCGAAAUAGCUUUAGGGCUAGCCUCAAGUGAUGAUUAUUGGAGGUAGAGCACUGUUUGGACGAGGGGCCCCUCUCGGGUUACCGAAUUCAGACAAACUCCGAAUGCCAAUUAAUUUAACUUGGGAGUCAGAACAUGGGUGAUAAGGUCCGUGUUCGAAAGGGAAACAGCCCAGACCACCAGCUAAGGUCCCAAAAUAUAUGUUAAGUGGAAAAGGAUGUGGCGUUGCCCAGACAACUAGGAUGUUGGCUUAGAAGCAGCCAUCAUUUAAAGAGUGCGUAAUAGCUCACUAGUCGAGUGACACUGCGCCGAAAAUGUACCGGGGCUAAACAUAUUACCGAAGCUGUGGAUUGUCCUUUGGACAAUGGUAGGAGAGCGUUCUAAGGGCGUUGAAGCAUGAUCGUAAGGACAUGUGGAGCGCUUAGAAGUGAGAAUGCCGGUGUGAGUAGCGAAAGACGGGUGAGAAUCCCGUCCACCGAUUGACUAAGGUUUCCAGAGGAAGGCUCGUCCGCUCUGGGUUAGUCGGGUCCUAAGCUGAGGCCGACAGGCGUAGGCGAUGGAUAACAGGUUGAUAUUCCUGUACCACCUAUAAUCGUUUUAAUCGAUGGGGGGACGCAGUAGGAUAGGCGAAGCGUGCGAUUGGAUUGCACGUCUAAGCAGUAAGGCUGAGUAUUAGGCAAAUCCGGUACUCGUUAAGGCUGAGCUGUGAUGGGGAGAAGACAUUGAGUCUUCGAGUCGUUGAUUUCACACUGCCGAGAAAAGCCUCUAGAUAGAAAAUAGGUGCCCGUACCGCAAACCGACACAGGUAGUCAAGAUGAGAAUUCUAAGGUGAGCGAGCGAACUCUCGUUAAGGAACUCGGCAAAAUGACCCCGUAACUUCGGGAGAAGGGGUGCUCUUUAGGGUUAACGCCCAGAAGAGCCGCAGUGAAUAGGCCCAAGCGACUGUUUAUCAAAAACACAGGUCUCUGCUAAACCGUAAGGUGAUGUAUAGGGGCUGACGCCUGCCCGGUGCUGGAAGGUUAAGAGGAGUGGUUAGCUUCUGCGAAGCUACGAAUCGAAGCCCCAGUAAACGGCGGCCGUAACUAUAACGGUCCUAAGGUAGCGAAAUUCCUUGUCGGGUAAGUUCCGACCCGCACGAAAGGCGUAACGAUUUGGGCACUGUCUCAACGAGAGACUCGGUGAAAUCAUAGUACCUGUGAAGAUGCAGGUUACCCGCGACAGGGCGGAAAGACCCCGUGGAGCUUUACUGUAGCCUGAUAUUGAAAUUCGGCACAGCUUGUACAGGAUAGGUAGGAGCCUUUGAAACGUGAGCGCUAGCUUACGUGGAGGCGCUGGUGGGAUACUACCCUAGCUGUGUUGGCUUUCUAACCCGCACCACUUAUCGUGGUGGGAGACAGUGUCAAGCGGGCAGUUUGACUGGGGCGGUCGCCUCCUAAAAGGUAACGGAGGCGCUCAAAGGUUCCCUCAGAAUGGUUGGAAAUCAUUCAUAGAGUGUAAAGGCAUAAGGGAGCUUGACUGCGAGACCUACAAGUCGAGCAGGGUCGAAAGACGGACUUAGUGAUCCGGUGGUUCCGCAUGGAAGGGCCAUCGCUCAACGGAUAAAAGCUACCCCGGGGAUAACAGGCUUAUCUCCCCCAAGAGUUCACAUCGACGGGGAGGUUUGGCACCUCGAUGUCGGCUCAUCGCAUCCUGGGGCUGUAGUCGGUCCCAAGGGUUGGGCUGUUCGCCCAUUAAAGCGGUACGCGAGCUGGGUUCAGAACGUCGUGAGACAGUUCGGUCCCUAUCCGUCGUGGGCGUAGGAAAUUUGAGAGGAGCUGUCCUUAGUACGAGAGGACCGGGAUGGACAUACCUCUGGUGUACCAGUUGUCGUGCCAACGGCAUAGCUGGGUAGCUAUGUGUGGACGGGAUAAGUGCUGAAAGCAUCUAAGCAUGAAGCCCCCCUCAAGAUGAGAUUUCCCAACUUCGGUUAUAAGAUCCCUCAAAGAUGAUGAGGUUAAUAGGUUCGAGGUGGAAGCAUGGUGACAUGUGGAGCUGACGAAUACUAAUCGAUCGAAGACUUAAUCAA
rnacentral:rRNA from 1 species